AUUGAGCGCUGGCGGCAGGCUUAACACAUGCAAGUCGAGCGAGCGGCGGACGGGUGAGUAAUGUCUGUGAACCUGCCUGAUGGAGGGGGAUAACUACUGGAAACGGUAGCUAAUCCCGCAUACCAUCAAAGGUGCCCAGAUGGGAUUAGCUCGUAGGUGGGGUAAUGGCUCACCUAGGCGACGAUCCCUAGCUGGUCUGAGAGGAUGACCAGCCACACUGGAACUGAGACACGGUCCCGAUUCCUACGGGAGGCAGCAGUGGGGAAUAUGUCACAAUGGGCGCAAGCCUGAUGCAGCGAUGCCGCGGGUGUGAAGAAGGCCUUCGGGUGGUAAAGCACGUUCAGCGAGGAGGCGUUACUCGCAGAAGAAGCACCGGCUAACUCCGUGCUAGCCGCCGCGGUAAUUC
rnacentral:rRNA from 1 species